rnacentral:rRNA from 1 species
UACGUAGGUGGCGAGCGUUAUCCGGAAUGAUUGGGCGUAAAGGGUGCGUAGGCGGUCCGUUAAGUCAGCGGUAAAAUUGCGGGGCUCAACCCCGUCGAGCCGUUGAAACUGUCAGACUUGAGUUGGCGAGAAGUACGCGGAAUGCGCGGUGUAGCGGUGAAAUGCAUAGAUAUCGCGCAGAACCCCGAUUGCGAAGGCAGCGUACCGGCUCCACACUGACGCUGAGGCACGAAAGCGUGGGUAUCGAACAGG